rnacentral:misc_RNA from 1 species
GCUCAACUCCAGGGCAUCAGUAGAAGGAUGAUUGGAAUGGUGAGAAGCGUAUCGAAAUUUCCUACCUAUAGAAGGCGAUUUCGCCAAGUAGUGAAGGCAUUGAUAACAUAUUCUACAGACAAGGAGGGUGCUGUGAGAUCAAAUUCUGUGAAAUCCAAUUCCAUUAGAUCAGUUGCCUGUAUUGAAGAUGUAGUGUGAAGUUCAGCAUUGUUGUAUGGAAGCUCAUAGCUAGUUUGUGAAUUGCUCUGAGGUUAUUUAUCCACGUUAACUCCUGUUGAAGUAUAUGUCAACAGAAAUGCUUCACUGACACUGAAGAAUUAUCCAGUUCUAUGUUGCAUGUAAUUGCUCUGAGAAUGAAGUUUA